ensembl:snoRNA
CGCACUGCAGGGCAUCUGCGCACAGCAGUGCGUUCCUGCUGGGUGUCCCAAGGACAGUGCGGUAGAAAUCCAGGAACCGGCAUCGUUGGUUUUCUGGCUUUGUGCAUGUAAACCUGGUAUUUCUAUUGAUACAGUG